AAUUCUCAAUCUUACCACUUUAUUGUGAAUAAGGCUUGGAUGUGGGGGUUGUCGGUCUUUCAUUAGAUCGGCUCCUCUUAAAUACAUUAGUGAUAACUUGUAGUUGUCCUAUGGUGUGAUAAUUAUCUACGCCUUGUGCAUGACUAUUAAUGGUUGUUGCUUAUAACUGUCUGUUACAAGACAACUUCUUGAC
rnacentral:misc_RNA from 1 species